rnacentral:rRNA from 1 species
UGCCAGCAGCCGCGGUAAUACGGAGGGUGCAAGCGUUAAUCGGAAUUACUGGGCGUAAAGCGCACGUAGGCGGACUGAUCAGUUGGGGGUGAAAUCCCAGGGCUCAACCCUGGAACUGCCUUCAAUACUGUCAGUCUUGAGUCCGAGAGAGGUGAGUGGAAUUCCUAGUGUAGAGGUGAAAUUCGUAGAUAUUCGGAGGAACACCGAUGGCGAAGGCAGCCCCCUGGGAUAAUACUGACGCUCAGACACGAAAGCGUGGGGAGCAAACAGGAUUAGAUA